rnacentral:rRNA from 1 species
CGGCGGACGGGUGAGUAACACGUGGGUAAUCUGCCUUAUACAGGGGGAUAACAGUUAGAAAUGACUGCUAAUACCGCAUAAGCGCACGGGGACGCAUGUUUCUGUGUGAAAAACUCCGGUAGUAUAAGAUGAGCCUGCGUCUGAUUAGCUGGUUGGUGGGGUAACGGCCUACCAAGGCGACGAUCAGUAGCCGGCCUGAGAGGGUGAACGGCCACAUUGGGACUGAGACACGGCCCAAACUCCUACGGAAGGCAGCAG